rnacentral:rRNA from 1 species
AUGGAGGUCGAGAAAGGACGAAAUAUGACGCAGGUGGGAGGAGAUGGAUGGGUCCAUUUCAUCGCCCACAUGCGUACCACCCAUGGUGAGUUGAUCAGCUUCUCCUUCAGAGCAGAAAAACCCAAACUGGUCGUGAUUUAUGUCAACAAAGCAGAAGAUUAUGAGGAUGAUGAGGAUGAUGACGACCCACUUGGUGAAGCCAUCAUAGCUCAAAGAAUGAAGUUGAGCGAGGAGGAGGUGUGCAACCUAUGGGACAUCAUUCCGCCACGUGCUGACUUCGUCGGGGUGCCAUUCGUGACCCGCCCGACAAGUACCAUGGUUGAUCGGCAUAUCAUGAGAUUGCCAAAGAGCAUAUCUGAGAGUUGUGGUAUCAAGCCUGAUGAAGAAGGCUCUGCUGGAAUACGCCUUACCGCGAGGGGCUCCGUCACCACUUGUGCCUACGGCAUGGACACGGACGGUCGCACACACUUCAACUCGGUUGGGUGGAAGAGCUUCCUCGUCGGCAAGAAUCUUCAUGUUGGACAGGCAAUCCUAAUUACUAUCAGGAACACCCACCGCCAAGGCUUGAGGAUGAUGGUCGUCAUCGAUAUCAUCUAG